rnacentral:lncRNA from 1 species
UAUUCUCCCUCAAACGGUUUGAAGGUUAGAGAUCCCUUGUUGCGCAUUCACUUGCCUCCAUGGCUAAGUGGCUUAACCCCAACGAUGCCGUGGACACCCUCCUUUUGGAGUGACUUUGACAUAAUCAAAGAUCAAGGACUUAACCACAAGACAACUAUGAUGCCUCAGGUCAAAGGACUACUUUGCAUUAUCCCAACCAUGAGUUCUCAUGUGACAUGAAUAUGAGAACUCUUCGUUGAUCGUGUUCAGUGAACUCAUUCUCUAUUGAGCACCUACGUACUUGUCUUGAUGUCACACACACCAAUGACUCGAGACUAGUCACUCUCCCUGAGAGAGAAGACAUAGCACGUACUGAUCUUAACGGACUGUCAAUGCCCAAUUGGCAAUCCUAUGAUCAGGAACGUUUAGGAUGUGUCUACGAAAGAAUGGUCUCAUGAAUCUAACUUCUUUAGAUUGCAUUCUCCCAAUCACAUAUUCCUUGGACUUUAUCGUUUAAGCAUAUAACAUUUAUAUGAGACGGCUCAAACAAUAAUCUUUGCCCUUUAUAUUUAAACUAGAUUAGUUUAACAUGUGAAAUGUCCGUAAGUAUCAUCAUAUGAUUGGUUUUUAGGGCACAUUUCCAACAACUCAGAAUUGGCUUUAGAAACUUCAACACAUAGGGUGGAAUUUUCUAAAUUUCUAGCCAUUAUAUUUUGCUUAUAUGUUUUUAUCAAAGAACCUUUGCAAGUAAAAAAUUCUAAUAAUAAGAAUGUAUGAAAAAUAUUCAAAUGGACUAGAAAAUAAAGAAAAAACCUUUUUGUGCGAGAAUCUUCUACGUGUAUGGAUUUCAACUCUCAAUGAAAGCACCAAUUUGUGGAUGCAAAUUUCUUCCUCCUUGAUCUUGGACAAUUUUGCACCUACAAAACAAUUAACACCUUAGGUUAAGGCCAAGAGCCUCACGCGCCCACGAUGAAUGGGGGGGCUUUGGCAGAAGAACCUCCGAUGCCAAUGUUAGAAUUUAGAGAGAAAGAGUGUUUAGAGAAUUUUGGGAUUUUUGCCAAAGUGUUGGAAUGAAUAUUUGGUGAAAAUAGGUUGGUUUAGGUUUUUAUUUUGGUUUAAUUAGCCAAUUAAUUGGCUAAUAAAAAGGAAGAAAUGGUGAAAAAGGUAGAAAAAGUGAUGGAUUAGGUUUUGAAUGGGGAUAGCCGGCCAUGUGGUGUUUUAGGGUUGAAUUGGAUGUGUUUUGUGGUUAUUUGGAUAUAAUGGAUGGUUUAAUUGACAAUUAAUGGGUUAAUUAGGCAAUAAACCCAUUAAUUAGCCAAUUAACAUAAUUUAAAAGGAAUGUGUUUAGGAAUUACCUUGUAGAAAGGAUUUGAUGAGAUGGACUUUGAAUUGUUACCUAUUUUGGGCACUUCUGUCUUGGUUGAAAGAGGGUUUCCCGCUGCUUGCGCGUAGGAACCUCGUUGUACUGCAAGGGUAUUUUUGUCCUUUUUGUCCAAAAAUCCACGUGUCGCCUUGAGAAUAUUUUUGGCUCCACACUUAUCAUCGAAUAUUCGUGGCGAUUCUUAGUAUUGGAGAUUCUUUUCGAGGGUACGAUUCUUAAUCCACUCUACUGUACUUACUUAUGCUCUAACGUCUGAUAUUUAGGCACUCUUAGGUUUAAAUUUAUUCACAUUUUUUCCACAUCAUCACACUUUAUGGCUUCGUCACCUUCCAGGUGUGGGCCAGUGCAGCUAGAUUCGAAGUUCUAGUGGACAUUUCGGGUCAGGGUGUGUCAGUUUGUUAUCAGAGCCAGGUUGGGCAGUAUUGCGUUCAUCACUGAAGGAAAUUUUGUGAAAAACAUGUUCAUUUGAGCAACAUCUAUGGCAUGCAAUUAACAAUUAAAGGCGGAAUCAUGCUUGUAUGCACUCAAAAACAAAACAUUACCCAUGAAAUUCAAAGCCUAGUAGAAGGGUGAACCAAGACUCAACUCAAAACAAAGUGAGUUGAGAAAAUUUAUACCUUUGUUGAUUUUUCUUUGCAUAAGCAAAGGCUAAUCACCCAAGGAGAGGGCCUUCAUUCUUGCUUCUUAGCUCCAUGGAUUUCUUGGAUGAGGAUGGUUGAAAGGAUUCUCCAAGUUCCCAAAGUUGAGAACCUCUAAGUCUUUCACACCAAGGUAGGACUUGAAGAAGAGAUGAGUGACCUAGAGGAAGUAAGAUUGCUAGCUAAAAUCCUCUAGGGUGGCCGGCCUCUUAGAGAGAAAAAUGGAGCUUGUGUUCUCAUCUUUUCUCUAAAAGAAACCCUAAGGAUGAAAUGGCUAUAAAGUUGCCUUUAUACCACCUCACAAUGGAGUGGCAAACUUGCAAUUAAGCCAAGUUCACUACCCCUCUCUAUAUGGCCGGUUUUCCCAAGGCUUUGGGUUGUUUUGGGCCUCUUGAAUUUUGUUUGUUAAGUUGUCAUACAACUUAAACUAAUGGGCUUGACGAUUCGAAGCCCAAUUUGGGCUUUAAGGCCCAAAACUAACUCAAGGUUUAAAACGAACUUAUUCGUUUGAUUAAUUAACAUAUUAAUUAAUUCUUGCCAUAAAAAAUUAAACCAUUUAAUUGUCCUUACUCAUCUCCGUUGUUUCUUCAAUCUCUACCUUACAUGGUGUACGAUCCAUUAGGUUCAUUUUUAGCGAGGCAGUGGGCAAUUAGAACUCUUUCAAAUCGAUUGUGAAUUGAAACUUACUUUCAAUUCUCCCUUUAGUGAUUAUACAUGUUUAGGGCUUCACAAACCAUGAGUGACACCUAGCAGUAUGUCAUGGUUACCCAAGCUAAUCAGAAGAGGUGGAGAACCUAUUCAGUUUAGGAUUACAAUGCAAUACGGUCUUUCUCUAAUACAAUACUCUUGACCACAUUGUUUGGUUUGAUAGUUUAUUCAUGUCUACUAUCCAAUGUGAUUCUCUUACUUAUAUGAUUACCUUGAAUGUGAUUUGGAACGACUUCCUAAAUCUUAUUCAUACUCUGGCCAGAGAUUCUUAAUCAUAUCAUAAAGUAUUCUCCCUCAAACAGUUUUGAAGGUUAGAGAUCCCUUGUUGCGUAUUCACUUGCCUCCAUGGCUAAGUGGCUUAACCCCAACUAUGCCAUGGACACCCUCUGACGGGGUGACUUUGACAUAGUCAAAGAUCAAGGACCUAACCACAAGACAACUAUGAUGCCUCAGGUCAAAUGACUACUUUGCAUUAUCCCAACCAUGAGUUCUCAUGUGACAUGAGUGUGAGAACUCCUUGUUGAUCGUGUUCAGUGGACUCAUUCUCUAUUGAGCACCUACAUACUUGUCUUGGUGUUAGUCACACCAAUGACUCGAGACCAGUCACUCUCCCUAAGAGAAGACAUAACAUGUACUGAUCUUAACGGACUGUCAAUGCCCAAUUGGCAAUCCUAUGAUCAGGAACGUUUAGGAUAUGUAUACGUUUAAGUGUUUAAGCAUAUAACAUAUUCUUUAGAUUGCAUUCUCCCAAUUACAUAUUCCUUAGACUUAUCGUUUAAGCGUAUAACAUU